ensembl:lncRNA
UGUAAAGCAGGAAGUACCCAUGCAUCGGUCUUUUUUUUUGGCAGAUGAGCUUUUCUCACUUGUAGCUCAGUGCUUACAUACUACCUUAGUCUGUGCUGCUCUGUGCAUCCAUUUAACUGACUCAGGUUUGCAGCAGAUUUACACCCAGAUUUGUACAUAAUUUUCUAGAAGCUUUGAAAGAUUAAAACCACACCGUGGGUGAAUGAAGAGCAUGGAACUGUUUUUUAUCAUUGUGCUAUUAGUAGGAGGAACUCAAGCUCUCUUUCCAGUUGAUGCAACCACAUGUGACCUCAGGACAAACACAUGUCCAUGCUCUCCUCUUCUUGAAGGAACUGUGUAUGUCCAAGUGAUGACUGAUGCUAGUGGCCGUGAAAUGAAGUGUUUGAAGAUGCUUCCCAAGGGGAACAUAACUGUGUUCAGUCUGAAGAAAGAAAAAAUAACGACAGACAAGGAAUUUUACAACAGGCUAACGUUUAUAAUCAAGAACGGGACACUCAAGAUCACAAACCUGAAGAAGAGUGAUUCAGGUCAAUACAGCAUUGAGGUCUAUAAUUCAAAUGGAUUCCAAGAGAAAAACAUUUAUUUCACCCUGGAUGUUAAAGACAACAGCAAAGUUGAAAGCAAGUUAUCACACAGUUUUCCUUACCUGAGGAUAGUCUUUGCUGCACUGGGAUCUCCCCUGAUAGCAGUGGCAUGCUGCCUUGUUUAUAGGGAACUGAAGCAUCUGAAGAAGACUUCUAACAAGGCAGCCCAUGAUCAAAAGAGGUUGAUAAACAAUUACAUAAUUCCAGUGAAUACCAUAAUUUGAUGGGUAAUUGUAAAAAUCUUUGUUUUGCUAUAAUUGUUUUUUUUUCUUUCACAGCCUCAGGUGUGAAACAGAGAAUAUAAACCUUAAGUGUGAGUCUGAGCUUUAGUGAGCUGACUUCUGUCAUAACCAGGACUGGACACUGAUCAAUGAAAUAAAAAAAAAAAAAGGAAAUUCAAAAACAACAAUCAGGAGUAUGUCUGUGUAGGUUCUCAGUCAUCCAGAUCAUGGUAGUCUAAGGAGCGUGAAGUUUGAAAGUUUCACUUCCUUCAUAUAGUAGUUGUGUAAAAUGAACAUAUCUCCUCGUAUGGUGAGAUCUCAGGGUGAAACUGAGGCUCUCAGUGUUGCUAAAAUAUUCUCAAACUUCUACAUUGUUUCACACGUCUAUUUUCUCAUGCAACUGAAGAACAUUGUCAUUGUUUUAAUGAAAUUGACUGUAAGUGAAAUAUGAUAUCAAGUGAAGGCUUUCUCCAGUUUAUUUGUAAGUGGCGCUAGUGAAUAACUAAUAACAAUCAAUAAUUAAUCAUUUUAUUAAGAAGAAGUGGUAAUUUAACUUUAUUGUUAUAUGUUAGUUGUUUUUUAAGGUAAAAUGUAGUUCAGAUCCAAUUCCUACUUAGUCACAGCUUACUGUGUAAAACAAAAGGACCUUCAGAAAUACUUUCUUACUUAGGAUGAGUAUGACUGAAUCUGUGGAAAUACUAUACGCCAAAAACAGAAAUAUGUAUUUCUGCACUUAAAAAUAGAUCAAACAGAAUUAUACUUAUCAUUUUGCACCAGAAAUACAAUUAAUUCAACAAGGUAAGAAGAAGGGAGCAUUUAUUGUUGCGUAAACAUUAAAAUUAAAUUAAUGAUCUGGACCUGUACAUAUGGGUAGGUGUGAGGUUUCCCUCUACUGGUUUAUGGAGGUGUUGCAUUUAAAUUUGGAUGAACUCUUGACCGGAGAUGAGUCUUCUAGCAACUGUAGUUUUAAUUAUGUCACAGCAUGGAAUUUGUCCUUUUAAGGCCGUGUGUAUAAUAUUUGGUACAUGGAUUUUGAGACCACGAUAUUAUGAGGAUGACUUUUCCCCCCAAAUAACCUGAUGUAUUAAAUCAGACACAUACUGUAAGCAAUAAAUAGAAAAAAAAUAUGGCAUGCCGUAAAUAUCAUUAAUUUAAAAGUCAUAAAUGCAAAUAGAUUAAAAAAAUAUGAAUUUAAAAAAUAUUUUCAUAGUUCUGACUUUAGAGGGUAAUGACCUAUUAUCUAAUCCUGAUACUGCUCAGUCAGUUGUGCUCGUAGAUGAUCUGCUCCAUUUGAUACUGUGGACCAUUAAAUAUUUAUUUUCCCAUUUAAGAUGAGAUAUGAACAGUUGAAUUACAGUAAGGGGAGUGCUGUAUUAGUAGACACUAAGUGAUGGGCAAGAUAGUGUUAACUUGUUACAGAUCUAAAAAUAGUUUAGUCAAAGUGUGAGCAAUAAGUAAAAAGUCUGCUCGAGUUCCUUUUAUUUCUACCAAGUAAUGAACGUGCUGAUGUUCCUUUUCAGCUUUCCACAUAUACGGAAAGAACUGUCUUAGAGGUUUAUCAGAAGCCAAUUGUGACUGUUAACUCCUAGAUGUACAUGCCAUUUAAUAAAGUAUGCUGACUUUGUCAGCGCACACUGAACAAGGAGGAGACAUGGAAGUUGUGCUUGGAUUGAUGGUGAUUCUACUGGGAGUGUCUCAUGGUAAACUGUUUUUUUUUUAAAUCUCAUUUUAAUCAUAAUAAUAUGCUAUAUAUCAGCAAUGUGUUUUCAAGCAAUACUUAAGCAAAAAUGCAUAAAUUCUCACAUUGUUCUCUGGGAUGUUAAAGAAGCUCAAAUACUUGUUCUUUAUUUAUUUCAUUUCUUUUAAUAAAUUCAUGUAAGAAUCUACUGGCUACAUCUGCAGUUUGUGUCACUUCACAUUUUUUCUUUUUACAUUUUUUAUUAUUAGUGGUAAAGUACUGAGACUGAGUUGUGUUCUUGUUCUCUAUUCUUUUUAUAUAAAAACCCUCCAUACAAACUACCUUGAGGUUAAAAAAAUAGCAUUUUUG